rnacentral:snRNA from 1 species
GGAUAUAAAAGUGAUCUGUCACCCAUUGAUUGUCAGGAUUGAUUCAGUAGAUGUGGCCCUCUAGGCAGAUGUUUUCCUCCUUCACCAUUCCAUGUGAAUCCCUCCAGGUAGAAGACGAUGACCUCACUGAAAUGGAGGAGGAUGGCUCUUUGGUCAAGGACAUACAAGUCGCCGAACACCCCUGCUAGAACCUCCAAGAAAGCUCUCAUCAGUGCAAGCUGGGCAAGCCAGGAAGAGCAAGCCAGUAAACAGCUCCUUAUGAUCCUUAUGA